rnacentral:rRNA from 1 species
AUUGAACGCUGGCGGCAGGCCUAACACAUGCAAGUCGGACGGUAGCACAGAGGAGCUUGCUCCUCGGGUGACGAGUGGCGGACGGGUGAGUAAUGUCUGGGGAUCUGCCCGAUAGAGAGGGAUAACCACUGGAAACGGUGGCUAAUACCGCAUAACGUCGCAAGACCAAAGAGGGGGACCUUCGGGCCUCUCACUAUCGGAUGAACCCAGAUGGGAUUAGCUAGUAGGCGGGGUAAUGGCCCACCUAGGCGACGAUCCCUAGCUGGUCUGAGAGGAUGACCAGCCACACUGGAACUGAGACACGGUCCAGACUCCUACGGGAGGCAGCAGUGGGGAAUAUUGCACAAUGGGCGCAAGCCUGAUGCAGCCAUGCCGCGUGUAUGAAGAAGGCCUUCGGGUUGUAAAGUACUCUCAGCGGGGAGGAAGGCGAUGUGGUUAAUAACCGCGUCGAUUGACGUUACCCGCAGAAGAAGCACCGGCUAACUCCGUGCCAGCCGCCGCCGUAA